GAAAUGCGAUAAUUAAUGUGAAUUGCAGAAUUCAGUGAAUCAUCGAAUCUUUGAACGCACAUUGCGCCCGCCAGUAUUCUGGCGGGCAUGCCUGUUCGAGCGUCAUUUCAACCAUCAAGCCCCCGGCUUGUGUUGGGGACCUGCGGCUGCCCGCAGGCCCUGAAAAACAGUGGCGGGCUCGCUGUCACACCGAGCGUAGUAGCAUACAUUCUCGCUCAGGGCGUGCUGCGGGUUCCGGCCGUUAAACGACCUUCAUAACCCAAGGUUGACCUCGGAUCAGGUAGGAAGACCCGCUGAACUUAAGC
rnacentral:misc_RNA from 1 species